AUGCCACCGGAUAGAGACAUUGAGUUUUUGAUUGAGUUGUUGCCAGGAACAGGCCCGAUAUCAAAGCGACCAUACAGGAUGCCCGCACAGGAUUUGGUGGAAAUUAAGAAUCAGAUUAAGGAGUUAUUGGAGAAAGGCUAUAUUCGCCCAAGUUCUUCACCUUGGGGAUCACCCGUACUGUUAGUGGAGAAGAAGGAUGGAUCGUUAAGGAUGGUUGUUGAUUACCGUGGAUUGAAUGAAGUAACCAUCAGGAACAAGUACCCACUGCCAAUGAUCAAUGAUCUGUUUGAUCUUUUGCAAGGAGCUAAAGUGUUUUCCAAGAUCGAUUUGCGAUCAGGGUACCAUCAGCUAAAGAUUCGAGAGCAGGACAUACCUAAGACAGCGUUCACCACAAGAUAUGGACUGUAUGUGUAUACUAUUAUGUCAUUUGGACUGACUAACGCACCGGCCUAUUUCAUGAACCUGAUGAACAAAGUGUUUAUGGAGUUUUUGGAUAAGUUCGUCAUGGUGUUCAUUGAUGAUAUUUUGGUUUUCUUGAAGAAUGAAGAGGAACAUAAGGAACAUUUGCGAUUGGUUUUGGAGAAGCUAAGGGAACAUCAGUUAUAUGCCAAGUUCAGCAAAUGUGAGUUUUGGCUAAAGGAAGUUGGAUUUCUUGGACAUGUUAUAUCCGGAGAAGGUAUAGCAGUUGACCCCAUAAAGGUUGAGACCGUAACCAAUUGGGAAGCACCAACGACAGUUGGAGAGAUCCGGAGUUUUCUUGGACUCGCAGGAUACUACCGGAGAUUCAUUGAGAAUUUCUCAAGGAUUGCAAAGCCUAUGACGGAGUUGCUGAAAAAAGAUACCAAGUUCAUAUGGACUGAGGACUGUGAGGCAAGCUUUCAAGAGUUGAAGAAAAGAUUGGUUACCUCACCAGUGCUAAUUUUGCCAGAUCAGACCAAGGAUUAUGAGGUGUAUUGCGACGCUUCACGUCGAGGACUUGGAGUAGUGCUUAUGCAGGAAGGAAGAGUUGUUUCAUAUGUUUCACGACAACUG
rnacentral:rRNA from 1 species